UGGCGGACGGGUGAGUAACACGUGGGUGAUCUACCCAACAGAUCGGGAUAACAGCGGGAAACUGCUGCUAAUACCGGAUACGAUCCAUUUAAUCGUGGAUGAAAGGCGGCCUCUGCUUGCAAGCUGCCACUGUUGGAUGAGCCCGCGUCCCAUUAGCUAGUUGGCGGGGUAAUGGCCCACCAAGGCAACGAUGGGUAGCUGGUCUGAGAGGAUGACCAGCCACACUGGGACUGAAACACGGCCCAGACUCCUACGGGAGGCAGCAGUGGGGAAUAUUGCGCAAUGGGCGAAAGCCUGACGCAGCGACGCCGUGUGAGGGAAGAAGGCCUUCGGGUCGUAAACCUCUGUCAGAAGGGAAGAACCCCCAAGGUUCGAACAGGGCCUUGGGCUGACGGUACCUUCAGAGGAAGCACCGGCUAAUUCCGUGCCAGCAGCCGCGGUAAU
rnacentral:rRNA from 1 species